rnacentral:misc_RNA from 1 species
CACCAGCAAAUAUCGAGGGGAUGCUUCACUGGUGACGUUUUUCCAAUUUUGGUUGUUUACCAUCGCCUUCUUCGUCGCUCCUGCACAAGGCGGUUGACAAGAU